UGAACUCAGAUGGUGGCGGCUGCGUUCAGACAAACAGUUCGUAGUAGGGGUUCACAUUUUCCAAAUACCCAACUCCAGUACGUCCCCCUUUUCGGUCCCGUCUUGCCCACCAUCGCCGCUGGUUGUAGAAAUGGACUUUUAGCGCUCCAGGUAGCCAAAUCCUUUCUUUCAGUGCAAGCCACUAACCCAACAAUGCCGAGGGCCUGCAGUACGGCAUGCGAAUACUACAUCCGCGGGCAGCUCAACGGCCUAGACUAGCGGUAGCAAGUGCUGCAAUGUGGAUCAUGGAUUCGGCCAAGGUGGAUCACCCCAGGCAUUUCCCAAGGGGGCCCCCAUCGACUUCAUCACAUGCCAAACGGCUGGGAAGUGGGAAACUUGCGCAAAAUUGCUUAUGCCUCCGCGACGGAGGUGGGGCGACUGCAGCAAAGUUGUGCCGAAGCCCCGUGUAGUAGCCGGUACACAGUACGGCACACAUACU
rnacentral:lncRNA from 1 species